CCUACAAUGCUAGCUCUUCUAUAAAAGCCUUCUCGGUCGGUGAAUUGCAGAUCCCAGUAACCUUGCAGUUCUUAUAUUUCUUAGCAAUUUACAGAGGUAGUGAAUUAGUGAUACCUAUCCGCAAUACACAUCCAUAAUACUGUCACCAUCUUUAAUUUGUGACCUUUCACAAUACAUUUAGGACGAUGAUGAGUCUUUGGUCUGGAAUAAGGGAGAAAGAAGAACAGAGGAAGAGAGAAAGGAGAAAGAUGUUUUACAGUCAGUUAGUGGAAUUGUGAAAAGAACCAAAUACCCUUUGCAGUUUCAAUUUGGGUUAAAGCCGUAACGUCAAAAUGUGUUUUAGAUACCCAUGUGAAAACAGAUCUUAUAUGUGAGAUACCAGUAUGAUAUUUCUAAAACAUGAGAUACCAAAGUUACUAAAGGAUGAAAUGUGGGAUACUGUUCGUAUCUUUUUCCCUUGUUGUUUUCUAGCUAUAUUGUUAUGGAUUAUGAAUAUGUGCACCACUUAAAAUCGCAGCUCCGUGGUCAUGUCAAAUUGUAACUGAUUUUCUAAAUGCUGCAGUAAUCAACAUAUAUAUCAUAAUGUCAUCCUCCAUUAAAAAUAUAAAAAUGAGAAUAAGAUGAUGAGAUUAUCAAGAGGGUUAAGCGUUGGAAGAGGUGUUCUUUAGUAUUGUCCAUGGUUCAGGUCCUGAAAUAGACUGUAUAUUCAUGUAUGAUAGGAUGCAUGAAUUUUAAACCAUGCCACUGCACUAGUUUCGUCCGGGCAGUAUGAGGAACCAGUUAACCAGUUGGUUAGUAAUAGUAUUUCUAUGAAUGUAUUUACCUAUUAUUCAUUUGAUCUAGCUUACUGUUUUUUAAGUAGAAAAGGCAUUGAUCGAUGUUAUACCUAGCAAACUGGUUUUGUUUUAUAAGUGCUUUUGAUUAGUUCUGCAUGCUUACUAGCAAGCUUCUUUGUUUCAUUUUAUAUUCAUUAUAAUGUAAUAUCUAUUGAUCAUUUCAGUUUAAUGACAAAGACACUUGCACUCAAGAAGAGAUUGAUGUAGUUCGAGUAGAUCGUUUUUCUAGUAUUUCAUUCUACUUUUGCUUGGUGAAUCUGUUAUGUCUUUUGUAUCAAACUUUCAGGAAAAAUUGAGUGAUUGUAGGAGGCAUGGCAUUGUCAACAUUAGUACCUUCAACUGUGAGCAAUUUCUAUGCUUGCUAAAAUUUCAAUAACUCGUUUACCGAUCUGAUCUUUACAUGGACUUCUGUUAACCAUAGAAGCUGCUGGCUUGUCCUAUGUAUCUCAAGUUAAGGGUGCACUUUACUUUGGAGUGGAGAUGUUGCUCAUGAGAUGCAAAACUUGGUCUUCUAUGGUCGCAUUAUCGGAAGGUGCUACCACAAAUUCAGUUGGACAAUUUGAUUUAUAUUUGGAGCUUUGGUUUAGAGCACGGUGAGAAACUAUCUGAAAACACUAGUCUGACAUUCAUUUUCUUCUCACUGUGUGUGAGCCAUCUUACGAGAGAUUUUGUGUGGCAUAAACCUUUAUUUAAUUUCUAUGCAACCUAAUUUUGCCUAUUUAAUUUUAUAGUUUACACCUUUUAUAUCUGCGACCUCUUAUUGCUCAGGGCAUAUACAACUAGUAUUAUUAAUGGUAACUUCAUUUUGCAAUAAGCUAGGUUGUUCUACUUUUGAUAGCAUCUGAUAUGCUUUAUGUUUUAUCUUGUUAGCAUAGAGAAUGGUAUAGGUGAGAAUGACUCAAAAGGAGGCAGUGGGGGUAGCUGAGAAGAAGAAAGGAAAGAGAGGCCCAGGCAAUGCUAUUGGAUACAUUAUUGCUGGUUGGAUUUCUGUUUAUAUGCUAAUGUAUGCUAGGUUGGAACAAAGGAAUGUAUGAAAUUACUUCCCAAAAUACAAUGAUUCUCAUUACUCAUUCUUGAC